AUGAACCACUUCGGUGGGGAUUAGUGGCGAACGGGUGAGUAACACGUGGGCAAUCUGCCCUGCACUCUGGGACAAGCCCUGGAAACGGGGUCUAAUACCGGAUACUGACCCGCUUGGGCAUCCAAGCGGUUCGAAAGCUCCGGCGGUGCAGGAUGAGCCCGCGGCCUAUCAGCUUGUUGGUGAGGUAAUGGCUCACCAAGGCGACGACGGGUAGCCGGCCUGAGAGGGCGACCGGCCACACUGGGACUGAGACACGGCCCAGACUCCUACGGGAGGCAGCAGUGGGGAAUAUUGCACAAUGGGCGAAAGCCUGAUGCAGCGACGCCGCGUGAGGGAUGACGGCCUUCGGGUUGUAAACCUCUUUCAGCAGGGAAGAAGCGAAAGUGACGGUACCUGCAGAAGAAGCGCCGGCUAACUACGUGCCAGCAGCCGCGGUAAUACGUAGGGCGCGAGCGUUGUCCGGAAUUAUUGGGCGUAAAGAGCUCGUAGGCGGCUUGUCACGUCGGUUGUGAAAGCCCGGGGCUUAACCCCGGGUCUGCAGUCGAUACGGGCAGGCUAGAGUUCGGUAGGGGAGAUCGGAAUUCCUGGUGUAGCGGUGAAAUGCGCAGAUAUCAGGAGGAACACCGGUGGCGAAGGCGGAUCUCUGGGCCGAUACUGACGCUGAGGAGCGAAAGCGUGGGGAGCGAACAGGAUUAGAUACCCUGGUAGUCCACGCCGUAAACGGUGGGCACUAGUGUGGGGCGACAUUCCACGUCGUCCGUGCCCAGCUAACGCAUUAAGUGCC
rnacentral:rRNA from 1 species